rnacentral:rRNA from 1 species
UACGGGGGGAGCGAGCGUUGUUCGGAUUUACUGGGCGUAAAGGGCGCGUAGGCGGCGUGACAAGUCACUUGUGAAAUCUCCGGGCUUAACUCGGAACGGUCAAGUGAUACUGUCGUGCUAGAGUACAGAAGGGGCAACUGGAAUUCUCGGUGUAGCGGUGAAAUGCGUAGAUAUCGAGAGGAACACCUGCGGCGAAGGCGGGUUGCUGGGCUGAUACUGACGCUGAGGCGCGAAAGCCAGGGGAGCGAACGGG